rnacentral:snRNA from 1 species
CUCUCUGCUUUAUUUCUGAAUAAAGCCGGUUUUGAUCGAUAUGUGGGUCACAGACCCACACAUUUAUUAAACUGAUUUUUGGAGAAUCAGUAGGUAAAGAAGCUUGCUUCAGUCAACUUGUGGAUCUUCUCAGUAUUGCAGUGUUUCUGAGUUAGGUCUUUUACUU